rnacentral:rRNA from 1 species
UCGGGAAUCUUCGGCAAUGGGGGGAACCCUGACCGAGCAACGCCGCGUGAGUGAAGAAGGUUUUCGGAUCGUAAAGCUCUGUUGUUAAGGAAGAACGAGUGUGAGAAUGGAAAGUUCAUACUGUGACGGUACUUAACCAGAAAGGGACGGCUAACUACGUGCCAGCAGCCGCGGUAAUACGUAGGUCCCGAGCGUUGUCCGGAUUUAUUGGGCGUAAAGCGAGCGCAGGCGGUUAGAUAAGUCUGAAGUUAAAGGCAGUGGCUCAACCAUUGUAGGCUUUGGAAACUGUUUAACUUGAGUGCAGAAGGGGAGAGUGGAAUUCCAUGGGUAGCGGUGAAAUGCGUAGAUAUAUGGAGGAACACCGGUGGCGAAAGCGGCUCUCUGGUCUGUAACUGACGCUGAGGCUCGAAAGCGUGGGGAGCGAACAGG